AUUGAACGCUAGCGGGAUGCCUUACACAUGCAAGUCGAACGGAGUGGCGAACGGGUGAGUAAUGUAUCGGAACGUGCCCAGUAGCGGGGGAUAACUACGCGAAAGCGUAGCUAAUACCGCAUACUUUUGGAGCGGCCUAUAUCGGAUUAGCUGUUUGGUGGGGGAACGGCUCACAACGGCGACGAUCCGUAGCUGGUUUGAGAGGACGACCAUCCACACUGUGACUGAGACACGGCCCAGACUCCUACGGGAGGCAGCAGUGGGGAAUUUUGGACAAUGGGCGAAACCCUGAUCCAGCCAUCCCGCGUGUGCGAUGAAGGCCUUCGGGUUGUAAAGCACUUUUGGCAGGAAAGCGGUACCUGCAGAAUAAGCACCGGCUAACUCCGUGCCAGCAGCCGCGGUAAUUC
rnacentral:rRNA from 1 species